GGGUGAGAUGUAUGGUGAAAUCAGGGUGUCUCAUGAAAACUGCCCAGCAACGUGAGGUUCCAAGCAGUUUGCAUCCGUCCAACAAUACUUUUGGGAAUUUCUUGCCAGUAAUAUUGAUGAAUUUUUCACUUCUUGGAUUAAAUACCCAAUAAUCUGUAAAGAUUCGUGUUCUUGAAAACUAAGGUUACCUAACAAUUCAGUGGCGGAUCUAGAAAAUAUUUUGAGUGGAGACAAAAAAUAAUAAAUUAAUUAAUAUAUUUUUAAUAAAAUAUAUAUGUAUAUAUUUUUUAUAUUUGAUAAUGUUAUAUAUUUUUUAUAUAUUUCAAAAGAAGAAAAGAAACUAAUAAAAUGAUACCAAAAAAAUAUAUUAAAGGAAGAGAAAUGAUUUAUCAAGCUACCAAAACUAUUUGGUAAAAAAAUUACUAAAUACAAAAUUGAUUUUGAAUUGAAAAGAACCAAAGAACCAAUGAAUUAAAAAAAACUAUAAGAAUGCAACGUAAGAAAAAUUAAUAAUAAUAUGAUAGCUGGCCCAAAGAAUCAAAAAAAUAAAUUAAAAACAGUAAAACCGAUGAACAAAAAAACUAAAAGAAAGCAAGGUGAG
rnacentral:lncRNA from 1 species